GGCAAAUUCAUGAGGCUUCAUGCCAGACUUCAAGGAAAAUCUUGCCGCAAGGUAGGCUUUCAAAUCCGAGACCCCCUCGAUGGACUUUAUUAAAGAGGCGUUGUCUGCUUUCUGGUUUUCUUUCUUGUCUUCUGGCAGCUUCUUCUUAUCCUCUUUUCCAGUUUCGAAGAACUCUCCCUCACCCCGUUUUUCCUCUUCUCGAAUUCCUUGG